rnacentral:tRNA from 1 species
GCCUGGGUGGCUCAGUCGGUUAAGCAUCUGACUUCGGCUCAGGUCAUGAUCUCACGAUUUGUGAGUUCGAGCCCCACAUCAGGCU